UUUCAUUAUUUCCAAUAGUUGCCAAUGAGUAAAGAACCAUAAAGCUUCCCCUAAACAUAACGUUAAAGUAAUUUCAGAUGUUGCCAACCUCCAUGCACCGUAUAGCAAAACGCGAAUGAUUAGAGAAUAGACGAAACUAUCAACAAUUUCAAAGUUAUGACUGUCGUGGAAGUCAAUUCGAUGACUGUUUGUUUGAUGACAGGAGAUAUUUUGUCUUAUACUCGUUCAAUACCAGAUCCCUACGCUUCACUGCCUUAUCCAGUAUGGAGAGGUCCUAGAAGACUAUACUGCCGUCUGGAAACUUUAACUAGGCUUGAAACACAUCAUCACAACGUGCGAGUUUUUUGAUCCUGAGACAAGUAAUGAUAUUGAUGAAAUUUCUGGAAUCUAGUACUACAGACAUUAUGCG